rnacentral:piRNA from 1 species
UCAUCAAGGGUGAGUGGGCUUUGUCUCUA